rnacentral:rRNA from 1 species
GGGGGGGGGGGGGGGGGGGCCUAGGGGAGGGGAGUCGGACGGCAGCACAGGAAGAGCUUGCGCUUGCGGGUGGCGAGUGGCGGACGGGUGGGGAAGACGUCGGAAGCUCCUUUUGCGUGGGGGGUAACGGGGGGGAACUUACGCUAAUCCAGCAGACUACCUCCGGGUGACAUCAUUGCAUCUUCGGAACUAUCUCAAAUUAAGGUGCCGCUGUCGGAUUAACUAGUUGGCGGGGUAAAGGCCCACCAAGUCGAAUAUCCGUAGCUGGUCUGAGAGGAUGAUCAGCCACACUGGAACUGAGACACGGUCCAGACUCCUACGGGAGGCAGCAGUGGGGAAUAUUGGACAAUGGGCGCAAGCCUGAUCCAGCCAUACCGCGUGGGUGAAGAAGGCCUUCGGGUUGUAAAGCCCUUUUGUUGGGAAAGAAAAGCAGCAGGUUAAUACCCCGCUGUUCUGACGGUACCCAAAGAAUAAGCACCGGCUAACUUCGUG